AUCCAGGCUCUUUGUGCUGUCACAGCAUGUCUCUGGCAAUUGCAGGUAGGAGAGGAAUUUGGACCUGCCAUGCUCCAGUAUCCACCUAAUCCUUCAGCCAGGGUUUCCUAUGCAUGUCCCACCAGAGUAGGGAAGUAUUUGUAACUUGUUCAAAGUUCAAAAAAUCACCUCCAGUCUUACAGACUGACCUGUGAACCUGCUGCAGAUUCAUUUCUGAGGGCGUAAAAUACAGAUUUACACUUCACGCUUCAAUUUUUUUAAUUACCCUC
rnacentral:lncRNA from 1 species